rnacentral:rRNA from 1 species
CACGUAGGGUGCAAGCGUUGUCCGGAAUUAUUGGGCGUAAAGGGCUCGUAGGCGGUCCGUCACGUCGGGAGUGAAAACUCGGGGCUUAACCCCGAGCCUGCUUUCGAUACGGGCGGACUAGAGGUAGGUAGGGGAGAACGGAAUUCCUGGUGUAGCGGUGGAAUGCGCAGAUAUCAGGAGGAACACCGGUGGCGAAGGCGACUUCCUGGCCUGUUCUUGACGCUGAGGCGCGAAAGCUAGGGGAGCAAACGGG